CGUGAUCCGCCCGCCUCGGCCUCUCAAAGUCCUGGGAUUACAGGCGUGAGCCACGGUGCCUGGGCAACAGUGUGAGACCUUGUCGCUAAAUAAAUAGUUGAGGUAAGUAAAUAUUUCCUUUUUUUUUUUUUUUUGAGACGGAGUUUCGCUCUCAUUGCCCAGGCUGGAGUGCAAUGGCGUGAUCUCGGCUCACCGCAACCUCCGCCUCCCAGGUUCAAGCAAUUCUCCUGCCUCAGCCUCCCG
rnacentral:lncRNA from 1 species